rnacentral:rRNA from 1 species
AACGUAGGAGGCGAGCGUUAUCCGGAUUUACUGGGCGUAAAGCGUACGCAGGUGGCUUCGUGAGUCGGACAUGAAAGCUCCCGGCUUAACUGGGAGAGGUUGUUCGAUACUGCGAGGCUUGAGGUUGGGAGAGGGACGUGGAAUUCCCGGUGUAGUGGUGGAAUGCGUAGAUAUCGGGAGGAACACCAGUGGCGCAAGCGGCGUCCUGGCCCACACCUGACGCUGAGGUACGAAAGCGUGGGUAGCAAACAGG